UUCAAGAUUUUAAAGCAAUUUAGAAUUGUUUUGGUUGCUUUCAACCAUGUCUAAUGUGCAAUGGAUUUUAUUAAAUUCUUGAGGUAAAUUUUCUUGCUUUGCAGUGUCUCACUUGCUUCUCAUUAUGUUAAUUUAUUUUGUUAUUAAGAUAUUGAAUUAUAUGCAAUUUAUCCAGAAAGUAGAAUUUUCAUUUCUUCUUAUGCUUGAUUCUAGAAUUGCAGGAAGAAUUUUUAUUGGUUGAGUUUGGUGAAAUUUGCUUCAAUGGGUGAGGCUUUGUAUUUUUUAUUAAUUAUUUUUGUUCUUGUUUUUUGUGAAAUUUUAUGUAUAUUUUUAAAGAGGGAAAAUCAUUGUAGUCAAGCUUCUUUUAUCUAACUAUCAAUUGUUGUUGGGUAAAAUUUGAUGUAUAUUUUUAGAAAUAGAAAGUUGUUCAAAAUUAUAUAUAUUUAAAUUGUUAAUAAUAUUUCUUUUAUGUCUUGCUUUGAAUUGGUAAACCAAUUAUCAAUGUCAGAAAGCUUGUGAGUUAUCAAAAACUUUUUCUGCAUUAAUUCUUUUUCAUUGGGGUAAAUUUAAUCAGCAGAUAAGAUAUAGACCAUAUGUUGUUUGUGAACCAUUUCUUACAGAAGAAUGAAAGUGAUAUUAUGGUGAUUGAUGCUCAAUGUGCUCCAAAGGAUUUUCAAGCCAGAUUUAAAGCUUAGGCUCACAUAGGCUAAUCAUUUCAUACAUUACGUAAUUCCGGUUCUAAGAGUAAAUUCUGAUCCUACACAAUCUGAAUAGGUUUAGCGUGCACCAUUGGUUUUUAUAGCUCUUUAAAUGCAACUGAAAACUAUUUUCAUUUUUAUUUUUUCUUUAUGCUUUUACAGUUGGAUUUGUUUGAAUGUGUUGUAUUUUUAGAAUUUUUUUUAUCUUAUGAAAUUCAAUCCAUAUUUAUAUGGUAGCUAUGGAUUAAUCUGUUGUAAUAUUGAUGGU